AUUGAACGCUAGCGGCAGGCCUAACACAUGCAAGUCGAGCGAGCGGCGGCCGGGUGAGUAAUGUAUGGGGACUGCCCGAUCGAGGGGGAUAACUACUGGAACCGGUGGCUACUACCGCCUUCUAUCGGAUAACCCAUAUGUGAUUAGCUAGUAGGCGGGGUAAAGGGUCACCUAGGCGACGAUCUCUCGCUGGUAUGAGAGGAUGAUAACCGAAACUGGGACUGAGAGACGGCCCAUACUAAUACGGAGGCAGCAGUGGGGAAUAAUGCACAAUGGGAGCAAGCCUGAUGCAGCCAGGGCGCGUGUAUGAAGAAGGCCUUAGUGUUGUAAAGUACUUGCAGCGGGGAGGCGUUACCCGCAGAAGAAGCACCGGCUAACUCCGUGCCAGCAGCCGCGGUAAUUC
rnacentral:rRNA from 1 species